rnacentral:tRNA from 4 species
GGCGCCGUGCUGUGAUGGCUAGGCACUCGGGCUUUCACCUCGGGGAUGCGCGGGUUCGAUUCCCGUCGGCGCUA